UACGUAGGGUGCGAGCGUUGUCCGGAAUUACUGGGCGUAAAGAGCUCGUAGGUGGUUUGUCGCGUUGUUCGUGAAAACUCACAGCUUAACUGUGGGCGUGCGGGCGAUACGGGCAGACUGGAGUACUGCAGGGGAGACUGGAAUUCCUGGUGUAGCGGUGGAAUGCGCAGAUAUCAGGAGGAACACCGGUGGCGAAAGGGCGGGGUCUCCGUGG
rnacentral:rRNA from 1 species